rnacentral:rRNA from 1 species
GACGUAGGGACCAAGCGUUGUCCGGAUUCAUUGGGCGUAAAGAGCUCGUAGGCGGUUCGAUAAGUCGGGUGUGAAACCUCCAGGCUCAACCUGGAGACGCCACCCGAUACUGUCGUGACUAGAGUCCAGUAGGGGAGCGUGGAAUUCCUGGUGUAGCGGUGAAAUGCGCAGAUAUCAGGAGGAACACCAGCGGCGAAGGCGGCGCUCUGGGCUGGAACUGACGCUGAGGAGCGAAAGCGUGGGGAGCGAACAGG